GGUCUGCAGCUGAAGCCCUUGACCAGCAGGCCUGCGUGAAGCAGGGCCCAGGUGCAGAGCAUCUUAUCACUGCCUGCAGCUGGGUGCUGAUGCCGGGGAAGGACAGGAAGGGGGGUGGCCCCAGUGUUAUUUCGCACUGGGAGGGAAGCUACUUGUUGAGUUCUGUCAUCAGUCCUUGGUGCUACAUUUGAAAAGAAGCAUGACAAAUUGGGCCUGUCUUGAGAGAGUAAACAGAAAGGAGGCUGGAUUCAGGAAAUCAUGUCACAUUAGGAGUGAAAGAAGGAACUGGGAAUGGGGAGAAGAAAAGCUUUUGGGUGGUUCUGACAACCAUCCCCUUGAAAGGCUGUCUGUCCUGUGGAAGAGUGAUGAGGUUUACAGCAUUUGGCUCCAGAAGGCAGACCAGAGAGUGGGAAUUUAAAAGAAGAACUCAUCUUGGUGUGAAGGAAGGUGACCCACCUUAAGAAUUGAGAAGAUCUGGCAGUCAAAACAUCUAUGGAAGGUGAAAAGAACAGUCUGAAUCAUUUCCCCUGUGAAUCUAGUGAGGACCAUUACAAAGCAACCUUAUUGGGGCGCCUGGGUGGCUCAGUGGGUUAAAGCCCCUGCCUUCGGCUCAGGUCAUGAUCCCAGAGUCCUGGGAUUGAGCCCUGCAUUGGGCUCUUUGCUCAGUGGGGAGCCUGCUUCCUCCUCUCUCUCUCUGCCUGCCUCUCUGCCUACUUCUGGUCUGUCAAAUAAAAUAAAUAAAAAUCUUUAAAAAAACAAA